GACGAACGCUGGCGGCGUGCCUAACACAUGCAAGUCGAGGGGUGCUUUCGGGCAUCACUGGCGCACGGGUGAGUAACGCGUAGAUCAUCUGCCCUAUCACUGACAUAACAGUUCUAACGGACUGCUAAUAUCAGAUGAGGUGAGCAAUCAUCAAAGUUUCGACGGAUAGGGAUGAGUCUGCGUCUGAUUAGGUAGUUGGUGAGGUAACGGCUCACCAAGCCGACGAUCAGUAACUGGUCUGAGAGGACGAACAGUCACACUGGAACUGAGACACGGUCCAGACUCCUACGGGAGGCAGCAGUGAGGAAUAUUGCACAAUGGGAGCAAUCCUGAUGCAGCGACGCCGCGUGCGGGAUGAAGGGCUUAGCCUCGUAAACCGCUGUCG
rnacentral:rRNA from 1 species